rnacentral:tRNA from 1 species
AGUUCCAUAGUGUAGCAGUUAGUACAUCUACUUUACACACAGAAGGUCCUGGGUUCAUGCCCCCAGUGGAGCCA